GUCAAGUCAUCAUGCCCCUUAUGCCCAGGGCUGCAAACAUGCUACAAUGGCCGGUACAAAGGGCUGCGAAACCGCGAGGUUGAGCGAAUCCCGUAAAGCCGGUCUCAGUUCGGAUCGGAGUCUGCAACUCGACUCCGUGAAGCCGGAGUCGCUAGUAAUCGUGAAUCAGCAAUGUCACGGUGAAUACGUUCCCGGGUCUU
rnacentral:rRNA from 1 species